rnacentral:rRNA from 1 species
UACGAAGGGUGCAAACGUUGCUCGGAAUUAUUGGGCGUAAAGCGCACGUAGGCGGCUUAGCAGGUCGGAAGUGAAAUCCCUCGGCUCAACCAAGGAAGUGCUUUCGAAACUGCUGAGCUUGAGUACUUAAGAGGAUCGCGGAAUUCCCGGUGUAGAGGUGAAAUUCGUAGAUAUUCGCAAGAACACCAGUGGCGAAGGCGGCUCACUGGCCCGGUACUGACGCUGAGGUGCGAAAGCGUGGGGAGCAAACAGG